rnacentral:lncRNA from 1 species
GAGAGUAGGGGGUAAAGGGAGGGAUUUAGGGUUUUAUUUUUAUAAUAUUAUUAAAUUUAAAAAUAAAUAUAAUACAUAACAGUUUUGAGACGUUCAUAUAUAACGGUUAAAACAACCGUUAUAAAAAGACGCUCAUACAUAACGGUUGGCUUAACGGUUUGGUAAUACCGUUAUGUAUGCAACUAAUAGAUAACGCUCAUACAUAACGGAUUCACUAAAACCGUUAUCUAUUUCCAUGGACAACAGUACAUAGAUAACGGUUUUUUGUCAAAACCGUUAUCUUUUCAAAAAAUGCGCUCAUACAUAACGGUUUUUUAAAAAAACCGUUAUGUA